rnacentral:rRNA from 2 species
ACUGCGGAAGGAUCAUU